rnacentral:rRNA from 1 species
AUUGAACGCUGGCGGCAGGCCUAACACAUGCAAGUCGAGCGGAUGAAGGGAGCUUGCUCCUGGAUUCAGCGGCGGACGGGUGAGUAAUGCCUAGGAAUCUGCCUGGUAGUGGGGGAUAACGUCCGGAAAUGGGCGCUAAUACCGCAUACGUCCUGAGGGAGCAAGUGGGGGAUCUUCGGACCUCACGCUAUCAGAUGAGCCUAGGUCGGAUUAGCUAGUUGGUGGGGUAAAGGCCUACCAAGGCGACGAUCCGUAACUGGUCUGAGAGGAUGAUCAGUCACACUGGAACUGAGACACGGUCCAGACUCCUACGGGAGGCAGCAGUGGGGAAUAUUGGACAAUGGGCGAAAGCCUGAUCCAGCCAUGCCGCGUGUGUGAAGAAGGUCUUCGGAUUGUAAAGCACUUUAAGUUGGGAGGAAGGGCAGUAAGUUAAUACCUUGCUGUUUUGACGUUACCAACAGAAUAAGCACCGGCUAACUUCGUG